ACGUUAGAUUAGCCAUGCAUGUCUCAGUAUAAGCUUCUAUACUGCAAAACUGCAAAUGGUUCAUUAAUCCAUUUAUAUUUUACUUGGUGGUCCACACUUACAUGGAUAACCGUGGUAAUUCUGAAGCUAAUACAUGCUCCCUAACCGACUUUUUGGAGGGUUGUGUUUAUUAUUUAAAAACCAACCCACGCUCCGCCUGGCCUUGAGGUGAUUCAUAGUAACCGAACGAAUCGCAUGGCUAUGCCGGCGAUAGACCAUUUUCGUUUCUGACCUAUCAGCUAUCGUCGGUAGGGUAUUGGCCUACCUUGGCAAUGACGGGUAACGGAGAAUUAUGAUUCCAUUCAGGAAAGGGAACCUGAGAAACGGCUACCCCAUCUAAGGAAGGCGCCCGGCGCGCAAAUUACCCUGUCCUGGCACAGGGAGGAAGUGACAAGAAAUAGCAAUACCAGGCAUACAUGUCUUGUAAUUGGAAUGACUAAACUUAUAAUCACUUUACGAUU
rnacentral:rRNA from 1 species